rnacentral:misc_RNA from 1 species
GUAGGUGAACCUGCGGAGGGAUCAUUACCGAGUUCAUGCCCUUACGGGUAGAUCUCCCACCCUGUGUUAUUAUUACCUCUGUUGCUUUGGCGGGCCGUCAGAUCUCGGUCAGGCUACCGGCUUCGGCUGGUAAGCGCCCGCCAGAGGACCCCAAACCCUGAAUAUUAGUGUCGUCUGAGUACUAUAUAAUAGUUAAAACUUUCAACAACGGAUCUCUUGGUUCUGGCAUCGAUGAAGAACGCAGCAUCUG